rnacentral:misc_RNA from 1 species
CAAUAAGUGUUCAAUGGCACUUUAAAAUCCAUUACCCACCUUGUGUGCAAUGUAAGGAGGAGGGGGCUUGUCAGACUUUUUGGUCUGGUUUCCCCUCUUUCAUUAUACAUACCAAAUCUUCUCUUGUUGUCUACUUUUUGAGUAUAAAAAACUCGAAUA